GAUGAACGCUGGCGGCGUGCUUAACACAUGCAAGUCGAGCGGGAGGUUUUGAAUAGCUUCUUCGGAUGAAAUUUAAAAUGGAAAGCGGCGGACGGGUGAGUAACGCGUAGGCAACCUGCCCCAUACAAAGGGAUAGCAUUUGGACACGAAUAUUAAUACCUUAUGAAACUUAACUAGUGCAUGCUAGGUAGGUCAAAGAUUUAUCGGUAUGGGAUGGGCCUGCGUCUGAUUAGCUAGUUGGGGAGGUAACGGCUCACCAAGGCGACGAUCAGUAGCCGACCUGAGAGGGUGAACGGCCACAUUGGAACUGAGACACGGUCCAAACUCCUACGGGAGGGAGCAGUGGGGAAUAUUGCACAAUGGGGGAAACCCUGAUGCAGCAACGCCGCGUGAAAGAUGAAGGCCUUUGGGUCGUAAAGUUCUGUUCUAGGUGAUGAAAACUGACAGUAACCGAGGAGAAAGCCCCGGCUAACUCCGUG
rnacentral:rRNA from 1 species